AGAUUGAACGCUGGCGGCAUGCUUUACACAUGCAAGUCGAACGGUAACAGGCCGCAAGGUGCUGACGAGUGGCGAACGGGUGAGUAAUGUAUCGGAACGUGCCCAGUCGUGGGGGAUAACGCAGCGAAAGCUGCGCUAAUACCGCAUACGAUCUAUGGAUGAAAGCGGGGGACCGUAAGGCCUCGCGCGAUUGGAGCGGCCGAUAUCAGAUUAGGUAGUUGGUGGGGUAAAGGCUCACCAAGCCAACGAUCUGUAGCUGGUCUGAGAGGACGACCAGCCACACUGGGACUGAGACACGGCCCAGACUCCGUACGGGAGGCAGCGAGGUGGGGAAUUUUGGACAAGUGGGCGACAAG
rnacentral:rRNA from 1 species